GGAAGCGUGCCUGAAUUAAAGGAUCACUUUGAUAGAGUGAAUUAUGAGUGUUAAAAUCACUCCCCUUCCU
rnacentral:tRNA from 1 species